rnacentral:rRNA from 1 species
UACGGGGGGAGCAAGCGUUGUUCGGAUUUACUGGGCGUAAAGGGCGCGUAGGCGGUCAGCACAAGUCAGUUGUGAAAUCUCCGAGCUUAACUCGGAAAGGUCAACUGAUACUGUGCGACUAGAGUGCGGAAGGGGCAACUGGAAUUCUUGGUGUAGCGGUGAAAUGCGUAGAUAUCAAGAGGAACACCUGAGGUGAAGACGGGUUGCUGGGCUGACACUGACGCUGAGGCGCGAAAGCCAGGGGAGCAAACGGG